GCCUGGGUGGCUCAGUCGGUUGAGCAUCCGACUUCGGCCCAGGUCAUGAUCUCACAGCUUGUGGGUUCGAGCCCUGCUUCGGGCU
rnacentral:tRNA from 1 species